CUCAUUUAGUGCAUUUAACUGGAAAAUUAGUUGGUAGUCUCUGCCUUCAGUCAUCUAAUUCAAAGUCUCCCUAGAAGUCAGUGAUUGAGCCCAGCUGGUUUUAGUCUCACAGUCAUGCUCUCUCUGGGCAGAAGCAGCACAGAAAUAAAGCAGCACUCUUUGCUUUAGCACACUCCAUUUCCACCUAUGUGCUUGUGUUGCCCUGUCAUAGCAGGUUCUCAGUGUAUUGGCUUUUUACCAAACACUGACAAAAUGAGUGCAGUGGUGAGGACCAAGGCUUUCAACUUUCUCGGAGCAACUGAGGAAGGUAGAGAAGAGCACGAUGGCAUUUCCAGCAAUUGUGACAAUAAAGAGAAUCCAAAGAGUCACCAGCUGCUCUGUCUGCAAUGGAAAGAAGGGAAAAAAGAAUAUUGAUGGGUGGAUGGACAGUCACUUAUCCUCAGACAAAUGAGAUGAGAACAGAAAACAGGAGUGAAAUUUGAGUUUUGCCAAUUGAUUUCAACUAUUUAGUCUAAAUGACAUUCUUGGGGUUUUUUCAGAAAAUGCUUAACAUGCAUCACUGCUAGUAAUGUUCAUUCCAGUUUGGUUUGCCAUGGCUGUAUAUUACUUCUCUCUUCACAAAACCACUAGCAGUGUCUGUAUUCUUCACUUAGUGUUAAAAUGAGAGUCAGCUCUCAGCUUUCUUGUGCUGCUCCAGCAAGCUGUGAAAUAACCAGCUGCCUCACUUCAUAAGGAAUGUUGAUAGAUGGGCUCCUUUGGAGAAACAGAGGAAAUAAAUACUUCUCUCUUCCCUAACUUCAGUGAGUCUGGGUCAUUCACGAGCCCUAUGAAAUUCAGACAUCCACUCCAUGAUCUAGACGUGCACCAAGACUGAAAAGGAAGCAUGACCCACUAAAGAAAAGUAUACUUGUGUAGCGACUGAAACGUGAUGACAAAACGUCCCCUAGUGGUGUGUGUACAAAGAAAACGAGGUAAGAAAGCUGUUCGUGCUCUCAAAGCAUCAGGAUGCUCUGGCUGCAGGACCAACACCGUAUGUGUCCACGUUUGCUUGUUUGAUUCCUACACAGCACAAACCCUAGAGGAGUCUUCUGGAGUCUAAGUGCUGCCUACAAUUAUCUGGCAGGAGGGUGCAGAGAAGAUGGAGCCAGAUUCUUAGAAGUGCACCAUGAAAGGGCAAGAGUCCACAAACAAGGGUUGCAACCUGGGACAUCUUGGUAUGACAUUACGAGAAAAGUGUUCUUCAUGACAGGGGUCAAGCACCAGGAUGGGAACCCAGAAAGGUUGUGAGAUUUCCACCCCUAGAGAUAUUUAGAACUCAAAUGGACACUGCCCUGAAAAAUCUGGCAUCAUUUGGAUUUGCUUUCAAGUGGUUGGUUCAGACAACCUCCAGAAGCCCUUCUCUACUUGAAUUAUUAUGCACACACACAAGUAUGCAUAAGACCUAUUUUCAUUAAAAAAUAUUCUUAAAACUAGAAGAUACUUAAACAGACAUAAUCAGAUUAGUGCUUUGCACACAUUGCAUAUUAUUUGUUGUACCACAGAAACAUGAACAGCUCAGAUCUUUCUGGGAAUCUUUACAUAAAUUAAAAUUUGCUUUGCUAGUAAAGAGUAUGGAUGUAAAGGCUACUGGCAUGGAAAUGGCAAAAACAUAAUUGUCUUAAGAAAAAGGACUUUAAAAGUAUAAGAUGGCAUUUUUCUUAUAUUUAUUUGAAGUCCUGAGAUGAAGAAUUACCACCAGGUGUGAUCAGCUUAAACUGUGGGCUUUCAGAAAUGAAGUGUGAUGCUACUGAAUGGGUAAUGACUGUGGUUAUGCUUUCCACCAAAAUAAAGGUUCUUUAAUACACAAAAAAGAACAAACUUGGUUAAACUUCCAAGGAAACAUCUAUAUUUCUUCCUGUGCUGAAACUUUCUACACAAGUUGGAUUGUGAAAAAACCCCACAACCUAACAGCAAUCUGCUUGCAAAAAAAGCUGUAGGUUCAUUGAGUAUACUUUAAAUGUAGACAACAGCUCUAACUGUUAAGAAGGAAAAAAGUAAGAGGCACCAAAUAUCUUACAAGAAGAGGUACAACAAACAGAAUACUUGGGCUAGAAGUAAGCUUCACACAACAAAUGCUAAUGACCUGAAUGUGAAGAUUCAGAUGACAGAUUCAAAUCACCUCCUAAUGCUCAAGAAAAGAAAAGCUGAAAAAAAAAGGCCGAAAAGUUCUUGAUUCAUUUGCUGACAGACCUUGUCUCAAUAUGAAAGAAACAUGAUCAAACAACUGGGCAGGUCACUGAAAUCUUCAGCCUUAGCUGUCACAAGCAGCAGGAAGUUGUACUGUCCACCCCUCUAAUAGAAAUAUGUUUCGAAAGAAGGUUCUCCAUCCAGCAAGGCAAAACUGAGAAGAUGUUUCUACACAGAUUUCACACAAGAUGGUCCUGAAAAUUUUGGGAAAACAAUUUGAAUGACACUUUUAAAAACCCAGGGAAAACUCAAG